rnacentral:rRNA from 1 species
CAGCCGCCGCGGUAAUACGUAGGGUGCGAGCGUUAAUCGGAUUUACUGGGCGUAAAGCGUGCGCAGGCGGCCCGUUAAGACAGGUGUGAAAUCCCUGGGCUCAACCUAGGAAUUGCGCUUGUGACUGGCGGGCUCGAGUACGGUAGAGGGGGGUGGAAUUCCUGGUGUAGCAGUGAAAUGCGUAGAGAUCAGGAGGAACACCGAUGGCGAAGGCAGCCCCCUGGGCCUGUACUGACGCUCAUGCACGAAAGCGUGGGGAGCAAACAGGAUUAGAUACCCUGGUAGUCCACGCCCUAAACGAUGGGUACUAGCCGUUUGGUGCGCGAUAGCGCUGAGUGGCGAAGCUAACGCGUGAAGUACCCCGCCUGGGGAGUACGGCUGCAAGGUUGAAACUUAAAGGAAUUGGCGGG